AAGAGUUUGUCUGAAAUUGAAGCUCCCCAGCGCUACUACGUAUCCGCAGGGAAUAAUCAAUUCGACCUCAAAUCAGGUAGGAGUACCCGCUGAACUUAAGCAUAUCAAUAAGCGGAGGAAAAGAAACCAACCGGGAUUGCCUCAGUAGCGGCGAGUGAAGCGGCAAAAGCUCCACUUUGAAAGCGUUUCGACGCGUUGUAGUGCGGUUCAGUCUUUGAGUGACGGAUGACUAAGUCCCCCUGGAACGGGGUGCCAUAGAGGGUGAGAGCCCCGUGAGUUGUCUUUUUAGCUCUUUAAGUCUUUACCAAAGAGUCGAGUUGUUUGGGAAUGCAGCUCUAAGUGGGUGGUAAAUUCCAUCUAAGGCUAAAUACCGGCGAGAGACCGAUAGCGAACAAGUACAGUGAUGGAAAGAUGAAAAGCACUUUGAAAAGAGAGUGAAACAGUACGUGAAAUUGUUGAAAGGGAAGGGUAUUUGGCCCGACAUGGGUUCUGUGCACCGUUGCCUCUUGUAGGCGGCGCUCUGCUGGAGCCUGGGCCAGCAUCAGUUUUCCGGCGAGGAUAAGAAGUUUUGAACCACAUUGUGGGGAUGAGUUUGAUGCUCGCAUGGGGGACUGAGGACUGCCGUUGUAGGAUGCCUGCUACC
rnacentral:rRNA from 1 species